GGAGUCAGUAACGCCCGAAGUCAGUGACCUAACUGCAAAGAAGGAGCUGCCGAAGGCGGGACCGAUGACUGGGGUGAAGUCGUAACAAGGUAGCCGUAUCGGAAGGUGCGGCUGGAUCACCUCCUUUCUAAGGAA
rnacentral:rRNA from 1 species